GAGUUCGAUCUUGGCUCAGGAUGAACGCUGGCGGCAUGCCUUACACAUGCAAGUCGGACAGGAAGUGGUGUUUUUAGCGGCAGACGGGUGAGUAACGCGUAAGAACCUGCCCUUGGGAGGGGAACAACAGCUGGAAACGGGUACUAAUACCCCAUAGGUUGAGGAGCAAAAGGAGGAAUCCGCCCGAGGAGGGGCUCGCGUCUGAUUAGCUAGUUGGGGGGGCAAUAGCUUCCCAAGGCGAUGAUCAGUAGCUGGUCCGAGAGGAUGAUCAGCCACACUAGGACUGAGACACAACCCAGACUCCUACGAGAGGCAGCAGUGGGGAAUUUUAUGCAAUGGGCGAAAGCUUGACGGAACAAUGCCGCAUGGAGGUAGAAGGCCUAAAUCCCUUCUAUCCCACUUCACACCUCGGAACGCACCGUUCUUAUAGAGAGAAGCGCUUUCA
rfam:Lupinus angustifolius cultivar Tanjil chromosome LG08, whole genome shotgun sequence.